rnacentral:miRNA from 2 species
AGCACCAGUUGACGUGACGCUGAG